rnacentral:misc_RNA from 1 species
UCCGGUUUGACACCGGCAGUCUCCUUAGAGUUCCCGGCAUAACCCGCUGGUAACUAAGGACAAGGGUUUCGCUCGUUUAAGGACUUAACCAAACAUCUCACAACACGAGCUGACGACAGCCAUGCAGCACCUGUUCACGUUCCGGUCUUGCGACUGUCAUUGACGUUUCCGCCAACUAAUCCGUGCAUGUCAAGCCUAGGAUAAGGUUCUUCGCGUAGCCUCGAAUUAAGCCACAUGCUCCACCGCUGGUGUGAGCCCCCGUCAAUUCCUUUGAGUUUCAGCCUUGCGACCAUACUCCCCAGGCGGGGUACUAAACACUUUCGCUUCGGCAGAAGGCGACAUCGGAUCGCUUUCUACCCAGUACCCAUCGUUUACGGCUAGGACUAC